rnacentral:rRNA from 1 species
AACGAACGCUGGCGGCAGGCCUAACACAUGCAAGUCGAGCGAAGCCUUCGGGCUUAGCGGCGGACGGGUGAGUAACGCGUGGGAACGUGCCCUUUGGUACGGAAUAGCCCCGGGAAACUGGGAGUAAUACCGUAUGUGCCCUUCGGGGGAAAGAUUUAUCGCCAAAGGAUCGGCCCGCGUUGGAUUAGGUAGUUGGUGGGGUAAUGGCCUACCAAGCCGACGACCCAUAGCUGGUUUGAGAGGAUGAUCAGCCACACUGGGACUGAGACACGGCCCAGACUCCUACGGGAGGCAGCAGUGGGGAAUCUUAGACAAUGGGGGAAACCCUGAUCUAGCCAUGCCGCGUGAUCGAUGAAGGCCUUAGGGUUGUAAAGAUCUUUCAGUGGGGAAGAUAAUGACUGUACCCACAGAAGAAGCCCCGGCUAACUCCGUGCCAGCAGCCGCAGUAACAC